GGUGGGGCAGGGCGGCCGCAGGAGAGGCCAGAGGGCCCCUGCUGGGGCCAGGCUGUGGCUGGGCUGACUGCAGGAGCAGGGGUCAAUUGAGGUUGUAUCAUAUCUGCCUGGCCCCCUCAGGCCUGCCAGACUGAGGCCUGUGGACCAACAGCAAUGAUGUCACCUGGGAGCUUGUUACAAAGUGCAGAGUGCAGCGCUAUGGAAGCAGAAUCUGUGUGUUAACAAGAUCUGCAGAUGAAAAAACUAAGACACAGAGAGGACACGUGAACUGUCACACAGCUAUCAAGUAGCACAGUUGGCCUUCAAACCCAGGAAGAUGGAUGUAAAUGCCACAUGAGCAGCCCUGCACCUCUGGAGCCCCCACAGGCGAUGUCUUUCUCUGGAGAGGUUGUUUGUUCCAAGAAGACAGGGAUUGGUUUUACCAAAUUAUCUUUGUAAGAGCCCAAAAUAGCAUCAUUAAUUCAUGUAAUAAGUACUUCUGAGAGCCUACUCGGAGUGAGGUUCUAGGAGGGAAGACAAACUAGUGAGAAGACCACUAAUGAAGAGGGGUGAGCAUCUAGCUAUUGGCUGGUUCUUACUUCUAGGGUUCAGGUGGGGAAAUUGAGACAGAGUGCUAAGAGCUUUGUUCAAGGUUCAAUUUUAAGUGCUAAAGCUGGGAUAUGGACCCAGAUCUAUUUAAUUCCAGAAAUCAAAUUCCUAACUACCUUUUUAUUAUGGAGUCUUGUAGACAGUACUAGCCCGUCUCUACUGUACUAUUAUCAAGAAGACC